rnacentral:rRNA from 1 species
UACGUAGGCGGCCAUAUAAAUCAGAAGUGAAAGGCUACGGCUUAACCGUAGUAAGCUUUUGAAACUGUAUGGCUUGAGUGCAGGAGAGGAAAGCGGAAUUCCUAGUGUAGCGGUGAAAUGCGUAGAUAUUAGGAAGAACACCAGUAGCGAAGGCGGCUUUCUGGACUGAAACUGACGCUGAGGUACGAAAGCGUGGGGAGCGAACAGGAUUAGAUACCCUGGUAGUCC